rnacentral:rRNA from 1 species
CUGCUGCCUCCCGUAGGAGUUUGGUCCGUGUCUCAGUACCAAUGUGGGGGGGUUAACCUCUCAGUCCCCCCUAUGUAUCGUCGCCUUGGUGAGCCGUUACCUCACCAACCAGCUAAUACAACGCAUGCCCAUCAUCAACCACCGGAGUUUUCAACCCCAUGCGAUGCCGCAUGAGAUAUUAUGGGGUAUUAGUACCAAUUUCUCAGUGUUAUCCCCCUGUUGAUGGUAGGUUGCAUACGCGUUACGCACCCGUGCCGG